GACAGAGGGUGCAAACGUUGUUCGGAUUUACUGGGCGUAAAGGGCGCGUAGGCGGCCUUCUAAGUCAGACGUGAAAUCCCUCGGCUCAACCGGGGAACUGCGUCUGAGACUGGAAGGCUUGAAUCCGGGAGAGGGAUGUGGAAUUCCAGGUGUAGCGGUGAAAUGCGUAGAUAUCUGGAGGAACACCGGUGGCGAAGGCGGCAUCCUGGACCGGUAUUGACGCUGAGGCGCGAAAGCCAGGGGAGCAAACGGG
rnacentral:rRNA from 1 species